UGAGCAAUCUGCCCUUCUCUUUGGAAUAAGCGUUGGAAACGACGUCUAAUGCCGAAUACGACCUCCUUUCACAUGAUCGGAGGUGGAAAGCUCCGGCGGAGAAGGAUGAGCUCGCGGCCUAUCAGCUAGUUGGUGUGGGUAAUGGCUCACCAAGGCGACGACGGGUAGCCGGCCUGAGAGGGUGACCGGCCACACUGGGACUGAGACACGGCCCAGACUCCUACGGGAGCAG
rnacentral:rRNA from 1 species